rnacentral:lncRNA from 1 species
GGGCCAACCCCGUCCUAGCAGCCGCAUUCUGUCCUGUCUCUCGCUGACCACCCACCUCACCUUGUGUAUUUCACUUGUCCCCGUGGAUCGCUCUUGUGAACCCGUGAAAGGAGCAAUAAUAAAAACCAAAAGCCGAUUGGACAGGAAAUAGCGCGGAUUCACCCAGCAUCUCCUGCUCCGCGCUGCACUGGAAAGACACAGGGCCAUUUAAACGCGAGAUCUCCCCGGGGACUGCAGGUGCAGGAGUGUCCCCGGUCGGGGCUUGGCGAGUUUUAAACAGGAACCACGGAUAUUUGAAAAUGCGGGAGAGGCGGUUUAUUGCGUAGUAACUCUGCGAUUGAAGGAAAGCGGGUCAAUCCGAAGCUUCCGCAAAGGCUGGAAGGCAGGUUCCUCAGUGACGGGCGGUUUAAAACGAACUUAGAGGAAACUUUUGGACGUGCGAAUAAGGAGAUUUCAGAUGGUCCCGCUUUGGGACGGCUGGGUCUAGCCCUUCCCUUUAAGCCCAGGAUUGUAUUUGUAGCACUUGUCACCUGUGGAGGAGGAAAAAUGCCCCCCCCCCCCUCUGUCUAAAGCCNGCAGAGGAACCACGCGGCGCUCCAAAUCCUCAGGUCCCCUUUCACGAUCAAACCGCGCUCCUCUGUCCGAACGGGGCAGAUGCGGACUGGGAUGGAAUCACCCGAAAUCAAGCCGCUUUUAACUCCCUCUACCCGUCCGUCUCCUCCCCCCACAAGGAGAAUCGCAUCGGAAAUCCUCAGCCAAGCGCACCGCACCCUCGGCGAACAGCGGUCACCUGCGCUCGCCUGAAGAAUCCAAAAGAAAAAAAAUGAUCCUUUGCCCUCGUGAUCGUGGAUUUGCACAAGUCUCCCAUCUGAUAAAAUCUCAGCCCUUUAUACUUGUGUGGUUUGACACCGCGUUGGAUAUCAGUUGGCAUUGUGGAUGCUCAGAUCGGCUGAAAAUCAAGCCAGCUCUAUUAUAAGGCAACGCUUUCCCCUAAUGGCAGCAUUUCAGAAGAUGCCUCUGGACUCAGGCAGAAAGACCUUCCCAAACCAGUUCUGGCAUCCCUAGUUAUUUUUAGAGCAGCUGCACCUUUU